GCAAGUGCCGUUGACAGAAUGCAGGCGGGAAGCUUCAGUUUGGGUAGAGAUGUAGCAUCAAACAUUCACGGAUGUCCAGGGAGCACGGGCACACAGGCUGCUGGCCAGAGGUACUAGGAAGGUACAGGCGGGAGCUCGACGAGGACGCACCUUCCCCUGUCUUGGAAAGGAGGCUGCUCACAGUGCUGCUGGACUCUUUAAGCCCUGAGGUCAUGUGAAAAGAAGUUUGCCCUGUGUCCUUCUGUCUCCUGUUGGCUGUCCACAAGAUGGAGAAGGCGGAAGCAACCUGAGGCGUCCUCUUUGUCUGUAAAGAUAGAGAGUCCAUUGUGGAAGGGGGAGAUACAGGAACUAUAUAGGCGAGGCCCUACCGGCCUGCAUCUCUUAUCUCCAGAAUUCUUUUACAGAAAAGAAAAAAAAUAAACUUUUAUCUGGCUUAAGCCACUACUGUUUCUGGGCUCUGUUACUAGCUGCCAAAUGCAAAAUUUUAACUGAUAGAAAAGUCCUUGACGGAGUUUGAGCUGGUGAAUGGAUGCUGCCUGUUUGGUGGCUCUGCAGUGGUGGAUCUGUGGGAGUGGAGCGUCCUGGAGGGUACCAGGAGAUAAAGAUGGCUUGGCAGAUGGGGGCAGACAGUGAGAAUCCACCUCACAAGGUGUCACGGACUUUCUUUUCCCCCAGGACACCUGUGCUGAAGUACUGUUAUACAGUGGCUCUUUAAACGGCUAUUGAUGGAGUAAUUUGAAGUCUGCUCCUGUCAGCUGGCCUCAAAGCUGGGCUAUUUAGAAGAUGGGGACUCUUUGUGCCUUAAAAAAAGCAGCAGGUAAAGAAUGGAGCGGGCAGGGGUAUCGGCAUUACAGGGAAGGCAAGUGACUCCCUGCAGGCGUCUCCAAGGAAAGGGCUUUUUGUUACACGUGAUUGUCUAAUGAAAAUACAUCGACGUCUAAUGAAGAUAUCCUUUACUGAGUAGCAACUGUAAGUAAUGUCCCAAAUGUACACACUUCUGUAGCUUACAGCAUGAAUUUAUACACUACAUAUUUCUAAUUUAUUUAUUUUCAUAAUAACUUCAUCAUCGUAAGGUUAGGCAAGACGUUAGAAGGACAUUUACUGUUUAUAUGGAUUAUAAAAAUAUGACCAGACUCCGGUUCUAGCUCAUUCUGUAAUCCAAGGACUUGUGAGCCAGAGGUAGAAAGACAGUUGUGAGUUUAAGGUCAGGUGACUGUGGGUGACAUAGUUCAGGGACCAGGGGGCUGCAGGGUUAGACCUUCCUCUCAAAAAAAAAAAAAAAAAAAAAAAAAAAACCACCAUAAAAAAGUUCAGUUCCACAGCACAACUACUAAAGCAACAUAAAAGAGAGUAGCUUGGCCCUGGGUGACGAAGGAUUUUACCAUCUUUUUCUAUUGUGUAAGAAACUAUAAGUCCAGGGCCAGGGAGACAGCUCAUCAGGCAAAACUGCUUGCUACAAACCUGACAGCCUGGGUGUGAUCCCUGGAACUGACCCCCGAAGAGUGUCCUCUGCCUUCCUCACUUGUACCUUGGCACCCACAUGCCUGCACUCAUUCACACAUCACACACACACACACACACCAAUAAAUAAUAAUAGUAAAUUCAAUCUUAAUUCCAGAGCAUAGAUUUCUUGUGAUCUAAAUGUAUUAACUUACUAUUCCAUUUCUUCCUUCCUUUCUUUCUCUUUCUUUCUUCCUUUCUUCCUUCCUUUCUUCCUUUCUUCCUUUCUUCCUUUCUUCCUUCCUUCCUUCCUUCCUUCCUUCCUUNNNNNNNNNNNNNNNNNNNNNNNNNNNNNNNNNNNNNNNNNNNNNNNNNNNNNNNNNUGCUGGGAUUCAAGGCGUGCGCCACCAUGCCCGACACUAUUCCAUUUCUUUUUUCUUUCUUAAAACUUAGUUGGGGGCUGGAGAGAUAGCUCAGCAGUUAGAGCACUGGUUGCUCUUCCAGUUGCUUCUUCUACAUUCCACUCCCAGCACCCACAUGGCAGAUCAUAGCCAUCUAUAUAACUCCAGUUCUAACUCUGGCCUCCCUGGGCACCAGACGUGAACGUGGUACACAGAUAUGCAUGUAGAAAAAAACCCAUAUGCAUAAGAUAAAUGAAUCUUUUAAAAGUAUAUGUUGGGACUCUAAGGUUCCUUUCAAACUUGGCAUGGACAAAUAAUCAGAAGCCUCUCAAUUCACCUUCAUAUUUCAACUCCAUUAAAGCUGUGGCCUUCAGCCUUUCUCUCCACCUAGAGGAGGACAGAUGUUACCUGAAAUAUCUUUUUUUUUCCCCUGAGACAGGGUUUCUCUGUGUAGUCCUAGAACUCACUCUGUAGACCUCGAACUCAGAAAUCGGCCUGACUCUGUCUCUUAAGUGCUGGGAUUAAAGGCGUGCGCCACCACUGCCCGGCCUGAAAUAUCUUUUUGAUUAAUUAUGUCUCCUUGUCCUUUGCCUUGAUUUUGUCAAAAAUAACGUGUAAGAAUUCAACAACUACUGACUAUUCAGGUACGGUUCUCUACACUUUUGCCAAAGGACUGUUUGGGUAAGUUUAAUUCUUUCUUAUUUCUCAUGUGGGGGACUUGGGUGGGGGUGGGGGUGGGUGGGUGUGUAUGUGUGUGUGGUUGUUGCUUGUUUUUGUUUCUCUCUUUCUUUUUCCUUUUUAAAAUGCAGUCUUGCUAUGUAGUGCCUGUUGGCCUGCUACUUACUAUGCAGCCCAUAACUCUUGGCGAUCCUCUUGCAUCAGCAAGUUUCACAGUCUUAGGUCACCAUGCCCAGCUUCAACUAUUAGGGUUUGACUGGUACUUCUCUGAAGUUCCUGGGUUGCGUUUUGUAAGAUCUGCACUGAAGAGAAAGACGCUGAAGCCUGCCAUCUGCCGCACAGACUUUGUUUUCUCCGGUUAAACGGUAACGAUGCUGCUAUGUGUGGGGCACCGUGUGCCAGCAGCUGAGUGGCUGGAUCGUAUUCUAACCCCAGUGAAGAUUCUGGGAAGCAGCUGUAUUGGUGAAGAAACUGUUUCGGAGCUGUGGCUCAAGGCUGCAGAGAGCAGCUGAGCAAGGGCAGUUUAAGGUCUUGCUGACUCCUGUGUGGCUCGGAGGGUGACCUGUCAUUCUUAUAAAUAAUCUGGAGGAGAACAAGGCCAACUGUCUCCAUGUGACACUUGAUCCCACUUUUAUCCUUUCGAGGCUGCCAAACUGAAAGACCUUAUGGUGAUUAAAUAUUUCUGGCCAGCAAUGCCCUGCCACUUUAUUGAAAAACGAUAGCCUGAUAUCUUCUAUAAUUUUUUUUUUUUUUUUGCUGUUGAGACAAGGUCUCAUGCAGUCCAGGCCAGCCUUGAAUUCACGGUGUAGCCAAGGUCGACCUUCAGUUUCUGAUCCCCCUGCCUCCUUCUUCUAAGUACCAAAACUAAAGGUGUGCCCAGAUUGUCAUGCCAUGGCUUUGUACAUGCUAGGUGAGUGUUCUAACUGAGCCAUAUCUAUAGCUCUGUAACUGUCUCCAUAAAAACAAAUGUUCUGUAUCAGCGUUAGCUAUGGUGGACAAGCUGCCCCAAGUCACCAUAGUUCAUUGGUAAUGCAUUGCAGAGGGGCUGGAGAAAUGGCUCAGCGGUUAAGAACACUGACUGCUCUUCAGAAGGUCCUGAGUUCAAAUCUCAGCAACCACAUAGUGGCUUAUAACCAUCUGUAAUGAGAUCUGAUGCCCUCUUCUGGAGUGUCUGAAGACAGCUGCAGUGUACUUACAUAUAAUAAUAAGUAAAUCUUAAAAAAAAAGAACACAGUAAAAAAACAAAACAAAACACACACACACACAAUGCAUUGCAGAGGGUCCACCCUUUUCAUUGGAUGGACAAGGCUCUGCCUCAUGGGGGUGAUGGUAGGGAUGGGAGCUGUUUGAAUGCCAAACAGUAAUAAAUCAAACAAAUGACAAACCACACACACACACACACACACACUACCCCCCAAACACACUACCCCCCAAAAGAAAACCAAAAUGAAAUGAUGAAAUAAAAAACAGGACAGGUAAGAUAGGUCGGUUGGUAAAAGUGCUUGCUGCUGGAACCCCAUCGGAGAGGGCAAGAACCCAUUCCUAAAGGCUGUCCUCUGAAUUCUCUGUGCGGAACACUACAGAACACACCUUUGUCUGUGCCCCAGUCUCUUCUGAAGCACACAGAAUAAUAUCACUUUAUUUGGCAGGGGUGGAGGUGGGCAGCAAGCUACUGUAAACCAGGUUUGGGAAAUCUCUUCUCAAAGGACAGGACAUUUUGCGGUAAGAGAAGUAUGCUGGCUCAUAGAAGUUGGGGUGUGAAAAGUUCUUUGUAUUUUCUAAGGUUUUUAGAGCAGAGCUGGAGAUUGUAAUGAGAUUUUAAUGUAGACCUAGGGUUAAGAGAAAGGAGAAUGCACUGGAAGAAAGGAAAGCGCAACCAAGAGCCAAGGUGUGGGCUUCCCAAACAUUGCCUUCUUCCAGGGCAGAGAAGGCCCAGAUCAGGGCCAUGUAUCUGCAGAGGCCCAUAGGCAAGCCUGUGGUGUGUUUUCUCGAUUGAUGUGGAAGGGCCCAGCAUGUGGUAGUGGUUCUGAGUUCUAUGAGAGAGCAGGUUUCAAGAGAAGAAAAAAAAAAUGCACACGGGUAAACAUUCCCUGUCUAGGGAACUGAUAGGAAAUGUUGUGAGUUAUUUGUCUGUAUUUUUUUUUUAGUUGAAAUUUUAUCUUAUUUAUGUGUAUGUAUCUCUGUGUGUCUGCCACUUGUAUUUGAAUGGUCACGUAGAUCAGAGAAGAGCCCCUGAAGCUGGAGUUAUAGGCAAUACUGAGCAGCCCAGUGUCAUUGCUGAAAACUGAACUUGGCCCCUCUAGAAGAGCAGCCUGUGCUCUUAACUGCUGGGCUAUCUCUCCAGCCCCCAUUUGUUUAUAUUUUGAUAUUACUUAUUUAUUAAUUUAUUUUUGUUUGUUUGUCUUCAAGGCAGGGUUUCUCUAUGCAGCCCUGGCUAUCCUGGAACUCGCUCUGUAAAGCAGGCUGGCCUUGAACUCAGAGCUGUACUUGUCUCUGCUUCCCAAGUGCUGGGACUAAAGGUGUGCACCCCCGCCCCGGCUGAUUUUAUUUAUUUAUUUUGUAAGUAUCUAUUGUUUUUAUUAUUGUAUGUGAACGGGUGUGUUAUGUAUACAUGUUAUAUGUAUCCACUACUUACAUGCAGUGCCUGAGGAAGCCAGAGAGGGCAUCAAAUCCCCUGCAACUGGUGUUAGAGCUGAAUCUGGGUCCUCUGGAAGAACAGCAGAUGCUCUUAACUGCUGGAUUAUCUCUCCAGCCCUUGUCUCCCCGUCCCCCCAUCCCCCAACAGACAGGGUUUCUCUGUGUAGCUCUGGCUGUCCUGGAGCUCACUUUGUAGACCAGGCUGGNNNNNNNNNNNNNNNNNNNNNNNNNNNNNNNNNNNNNNNNNNNNNNNN
rnacentral:lncRNA from 1 species